UACGGAGGGGGCUAGCGUUGUUCGGAAUUACUGGGCGUAAAGCGCACGUAGGCGGCUUUGCAAGUUAGAGGUGAAAGCCCGGGGCUCAACCCCGGAAUUGCCUUUAAAACUGCAUCGCUAGAAUUGUGGAGAGGUAAGUGGAAUUCCGAGUGUAGAGGUGAAAUUCGUAGAUAUUCGGAAGAACACCGAUGUGCGAAGGCGACUUACUGGACACAUAUUGACGCUGAGGUGCGAAAGCGUGGGGAGCAAACAGG
rnacentral:rRNA from 1 species